rnacentral:tRNA from 1 species
UGUCUGCGUAGCUCAGUUGGAUAGAGCGACCGCCUCCUAAGCGGUAGGUCGGGUGUUCGAGUCACCUCGCGGACGU